rnacentral:rRNA from 2 species
UAACACGUGGGUAACCUGCCUGUAAGACUGGGAUAACUCCGGGAAACCGGGGCUAAUACCGGAUGCUUGUUUGAACCGCAUGGUUCAAACAUAAAAGGUGGCUUCGGCUACCACUUACAGAUGGACCCGCGGCGCAUUAGCUAGUUGGUGAGGUAAUGGCUCACCAAGGCAACGAUGCGUAGCCGACCUGAGAGGGUGAUCGGCCACACUGGGACUGAGACACGGCCCAGACUCCUACGGGAGGCAGCAGUAGGGAAUCUUCCGCAAUGGACGAAAGUCUGACGGAGCAACGCCGCGUGAGUGAUGAAGGUUUUCGGAUCGUAAAGCUCUGUUGUUAGGGAAGAACAAGUACCGUUCGAAUAGGGCGGUACCUUGACGGUACCUAACCAGAAAGCCACGGCUAACUACGUGCCAGCAGCCGCGGUAAUACGUAGGUGGCAAGCGUUGUCCGGAAUUAUUGGGCGUAAAGGGCUCGCAGGCGGUUUCUUAAGUCUGAUGUGAAAGCCCCCGGCUCAACCGGGGAGGGUCAUUGGAAACUGGGGAACUUGAGUGCAGAAGAGGAGAGUGGAAUUCCACGUGUAGCGGUGAAAUGCGUAGAGAUGUGGAGGAACACCAGUGGCGAAGGCGACUCUCUGGUCUGUAACUGACGCUGAGGAGCGAAAGCGUGGGGAGCGAACAGGAUUAGAUACCCUGGUAGUCCACGCCGUAAACGAUGAGUGCUAAGUGUUAGGGGGUUUCCGCCCCUUAGUGCUGCAGCUAACGCAUUAAGCACUCCGCCUGGGGAGUACGGUCGCAAGACUGAAACUCAAAGGAAUUGACGGGGGCCCGCACAAGCGGUGGAGCAUGUGGUUUAAUUCGAAGCAACGCGAAGAACCUUACCAGGUCUUGACAUCCUCUGACAAUCCUAGAGAUAGGACGUCCCCUUCGGGGGCAGAGUGACAGGUGGUGCAUGGUUGUCGUCAGCUCGUGUCGUGAGAUGUUGGGUUAAGUCCCGCAACGAGCGCAACCCUUGAUCUUAGUUGCCAGCAUUCAGUUGGGCACUCUAAGGUGACUGCCGGUGACAAACCGGAGGAAGGUGGGGAUGACGUCAAAUCAUCAUGCCCCUUAUGACCUGGGCUACACACGUGCUACAAUGGACAGAACAAAGGGCAGCGAAACCGCGAGGUUAAGCCAAUCCCACAAAUCUGUUCUCAGUUCGGAUCGCAGUCUGCAACUCGACUGCGUGAAGCUGGAAUCGCUAGUAAUCGCGGAUCAGCAUGCCGCGGUGAAUACG